UACGGAGGGUGCAAGCGUUGCUCGGGAUUAUUGGGCGUAAAGGGUAGGUAGGUGGUCUCAUUUGUCUGGGGUGAAAGCCUUGAGCUUAACUCAAGAAGUGCCUCAGAAACGGUGAGACUAGAGUCCUGGAGAGGGUCGUGGAAUUCCCGGUGUAGCGGUGAAAUGCGUAGAGAUCGGGAGGAACACCAGAGGCGAAGGCGGCGACCUGGACAGGUACUGACACUCAACUACGAAAGCGUGGGGAGCAAACAGG
rnacentral:rRNA from 1 species